CUGACAUUAUUAUUUACAAGUCAUCCUUCUGUUGUAAUGGUAGCAAGCAUCCCUGACCAAAACUUGGAGUGACCUCACGCCAUGAUGACGAGGUUAAAUGUCCGGCCCUGAGCGGGAAGCUGCCCCGUGGCCUGGCCAGGGGCUUGAUGACCGUCCACCACCCAUUCGCGGGGCGUGGCGGGCCGAGCACAGGCUGAGUGGU